ensembl:lncRNA
AUUUUCUGAAAGGUCUUUGACAAGUUUACCUGCUUAACUGGAGACUCAGGAGGGAGAUCCAAUCGAUGGAACUUCCCAGUGAGGGCAGAGACAGGCCAAGGCUUGACACGGUGACGAGCUCCAGUGCCACGCACUAAUAGAGAGACAAAUUCAACGCAAAACUAAAAUGAAUAACUUGUCUCGAGCUGUUGAUCUAAAAGUCAAACAUCACGCAAAACUAAAAUGAAUAACUUGUCUCGAGCUGUUGAUCUAAAAGUCAAACAUCACACAUUCAUGCAAUAGAAUUCUGAGGAAUAUAAAUGAGUUGAAAACAUUAUUGUAUCUUUACGACUACAUACCAGGGAGGAAGCCUCUAGCCAGAGUCGUUGCCAUCGGAAGAAUCGUCCUCAUCCUCACCUUGGCUGCAGCCGAAGCGCGCGAGGCACGAGGCAUCUAAUGAUUUCACAAUAAGAAAAAUAGAAUGCUUCAAAAUAGGUACAAGAUUUCCCUUUACAAAUAUACAUCAAGAAAGGCUGCAUGAAAACCCCACCCUGUACAGAGAUGUAUUUAUGUAAUUAUAACCAUGUGUUUUCAUAUGAAAUGAACAUUAAACAGAACAGAUGGGUGCAAUAAAUACACACACGCACAAGGUGUUCAUGUGAAAUCAAUAUAUGGGCUAAAGCACAGCAUUUAAAACACAUUGCAUAUGGUGGACAGAGGUAGAGUUUAGACUGUUGGGCGGAUGUGUGCGUGUAAAAAGUGAAUGUAACACGACAUUUCAGCAUUUAAAACACAUUGCAUUGUAUGGACAGAGUCCACCAGAAAGCUUUUCUGUGGUAAUAUGGCUGGCGGCCUAGACGCCGCCGUUUCAACCCUCUGCGCAUCUACUCGGCGCAGACGUGAUCCCCUGUAGUAUCGCGACAUGCUAAUUUAGCCGCUACCCAAACAACUACAACCCUAACCCUACAUUGAAAACCUAUCAACAUCACUGCCGAAGAGAAAAGCUGCGUUUAACUUGAUGACCUCCGCUGCACGAACGCCUCCCAAGAACUGGACAACCUGGACAGCACGACCGUAUUAUUACAACCUGGACAGCACGACCAUCUACUACCAAGCCCCUGAAAACGGAAACAGAGGACAAUGUAAAUGGAGUGUAAAUAGAGUGAUGUGUUAAGAGUGAUGUGUUAAGCGUGAAUAAAAAAUGAAAAACAUUUCAU